AUUGAACGCUGGCGGCAUGCCUUACACAUGCAAGUCGAACGGCAGCACGGGUGCUUGCACCUGGUGGCGAGUGGCGAACGGGUGAGUAAUACAUCGGAACAUGUCCUGUAGUGGGGGAUAGCCCGGCGAAAGCCGGAUUAAUACCGCAUACGAACUACGGAUGAAAGCGGGGGACCUUCGGGCCUCGCGCGAUAGGGUUGGCCGAUGGCUGAUUAGCUAGUUGGUGGGGUAAAGGCCUACCAAGGCGACGAUCAGUAGCUGGUCUGAGAGGACGACCAGCGACACUGGAACUGAGACACGGCCCAGACUCCUACGGGAGGCAGCAGUGGGGAAUUUUGGACAAUGGGCGAAAGCCUGAUCCAGCAAUGCCGCGUGUGUGAAGAAGGCCUUCGGGUUGUAAAGCACUUUUGUCCGGAAAGAAAUCCUUGGCCCUAAUACGGUCGGGGGAUGACGGUACCGGAAGAAUAAGCACCGGCUAACUACGUG
rnacentral:rRNA from 1 species